CCCUUAGAUGUUCUGGGCUGCACGCGCGCUACACUGACGCCCGCAACAGGUGCCUGCUCCGAGAGGACUGGGUAAUCAUUUGAGUGUGCGUCGUGAUGGGGAUAGAAUAUUGUAAUUAUUACUCUUCAACGAGGAAUUCCUAGUAAGCGCCAGUCAGCAGCUUGCGCUGAUUACGUCCCUGCCCUUUGUACACACCGCCCGUCGCUCCUACCGAUGGGUGAUCCGGUGAAUGAUUCGGACUUCAGCGGCUCCCCUGGGGUGCGCCGGAGAAAGUUUUGUGAACCUUAUCACUUGGAGGAAGGAGAAGUCGUAACA
rnacentral:rRNA from 1 species